AUGAGGGCCAUCGCCAUUAGCUUCGUGUGGUCAUUUCUAGCCAUACUCAUGACCUCCACGCCGACCGCUAGUGACAAGCCCGCACUGCUUGCUUUCAAAGCGCAGGUCAGCCAUGGCGGCUCGCUGGCUUCCUGGAACAGCAGCGUGGGCUUCUGCAGCUGGCAAGGCGUGGUGUGUAGCCAGCGGAGGCCAAUGCGGGUGGUGGCUCUGACAUUGGAUGGCACCGGCCUUGUCGGACCACUCUCACCCGCCAUCGGGAACCUCACAUUCCUGCGGAUGCUCAACCUGAGAUCCAACUCGUUCCAUGGGGUCAUUCCGGCUAGCCUUGGCCGUCUCCGUCGCCUGCGGUGGCUCUACUUGGACACGAACUCCUUCUCCGGCACAAUACCUGCGAACCUGAGCGCAUGCGUCCGCAUGAUAGAAAUGAGACUGGACAACAACACGCUUGGCGGACCCAUCCCGGCUGAGCUCGGCGAGAAGCUAACAUCCCUAGAAGUGAUCACACUGAGAAACAACAGCUUCACAGGGCCCAUCCCGACGUCAUUGGCCAAUCUGUCCCAUCUACAUGCCGUGUCCCUUGCCGAUAACCAGCUCGUGGGCUCAAUCCCGCCAGGGCUCGGCAGCAUCCAGAGCAUGCGAUAUUUCGGUCUCUUCAACAACCUCCUCAAUGGUAUGCUCCCACCUUCUAUCUACAACUGGUCAUUGCUGGAAACAUUUGAUGUAGGGCAAAACAUGUUCUCCGGAAGCAUUCCGGAUGAUAUAGGAAGCAAGUUCCCCAAGUUGAGAUAUCUUGGCGCGGGUGGUAAUCACUUUACGGGGACCAUCCCUUCUUCAAUAUCCAACAUGUCUUCCCUUGUAAGACUUAGCCUCGUGCAGAAUAACUUUAGUGGAUACGUGCCUCCCAUGUUGGGGAAGCUGGGCACUCUUCAAGAAGUGAAUUUGGCAGUCAAUAAGCUUGAAGCCAAUGACAACAAGGGGUGGGAAUUCAUUACUUCUCUGGCAAACUGCAGCCAACUACUGCGACUGUCAUUGAACUUCAAUUCUUUUGGAGGACAACUACCGGGUACAAUUGUGAACCUCUCAACGACUCUGCAGACCUUAAGCUUAAGUAGCAAUAUGAUCUCAGGGAUUAUCUGGUUGGUCUGGAAACACUUGGGAUAG
rnacentral:rRNA from 1 species